GGGGGUUCGAUUCCCUAGUGAUGCAAGGUUUUUUCUUUCAUUUUGGACUGCACACACAUCGCGAGUGACGGAUACUCGCACAAUGUACACACAUCACUGUCUUUACAAUUUCUAGGCAACCGAAGUUUAAAGAUUGUCAAGUGGUUAAAUCUUGAAUCGCAACUCAUUAACGCGGGGAUAAGGGGUUUGAUUCCUUAAUGAAGCUAGCUUUUUUCUUUCAUAUUGGACUGGAUGUUUGUAUGCCAUUUUGCGUAACUUGUAGUUUAUGAUGAAGAAAUGUUACUGGGGUUAAAGGGACUCUUACCUUUGUUGCAUUUUUACACUUUUUUUGGAUAAGGUUAAAUUGGUAUUAAUAAGGUAAUAACACUCUAAUAUGCAAGACAGACCCACCAGGAGUAAAAACAAACAAUUAUUUUACUCUCAUAAUAUUUAGUGAAAACUUCAACCAAUAAAAUUCUUCGGACCGAAUGACCUUAUUGGCCGACAGACCUGUCUGUUUGCUGCAUGGAUAUAUAAGGUUUUCCGUCUGCUUCUUGUGGCGCAUUCGGGCCCGCGUCAUCAAGGCGCGUCCUCAACUAGAGGGUUUGUUUCGAUUCCACGGCAGACAGUAGCGAGUAGCGACCGUAGCGACUGACGAUGGCAGACCAAAGUGGUCCACGGCGUACUGAAACUGCACCAUUCAGUCCGAUUAGGGGACUCAUCUCGGACUCAGACUCACAGAGUUACCCUCCUCUGGAGCCUCAGGAAGACCUCCAGACUGUUGGCCACCAACUGCACCAUUCAGUCCGACAAGGGGACCCGAUUCGGCCUCAGAAGCCAAGUGGUCCCGCUCCCCUGGAUGAUUCUCAGGACCUCCAGACCGUUGGCAACCAACCGGACCCAUUUCGGACUCAGACGCGACGUUGUCCCGCUACUCUGGAGCUACAGGAAGACCUCCAGACCGUUGGCACCCAACCGCACCAUUCAGUCCGAUUAGGGGACCCAUUUCGGCCUCAGACGCUACGUUGUCCCGCUACUCUGUUUGUAAUGCUCAUACACCUUUCUUAUACUCAGUGGGACCACUGUCCUUCAACAUGGGGCCUCAAAACGGUAUCACACGAAGCCCAUAAAAUUACAGUGAGCCACCUGCUAAAUUUCUUGUUUAUUAGACCCCUGGUAGAUAUUAUGACCCCUGGGAGUCUAAACAUAACCCAUGGGAGUCUAAACAUAACCCAUGGGAGUCUAGAACUUUUGUACUGUAGCGACCCUGGGACAGUUAAAUAG
rnacentral:lncRNA from 1 species